rnacentral:rRNA from 1 species
AGACGUCUACAUUAGAUACCCGCGUUACGUCCCAGCCCGUAAACGAUGCGCGUUAGGUGUAUCGACGACCACGAGUCGUCGAGGUGCCGAAGGGAAACCGUGAAACGUGCCGCCUGGGAAGUACGGUCGCAAGGCUGAAACUUAAAGGAAUUGGCGGGGAGCACCACAACAGGUGGAGCCUGCGGUUUAAUUGGACUCAACGCCGGGAAGCUCACCGGAUAAGACAGCGGAAUGAUUGCCGAGCUGAAGACUCUGCAUGACUAGCUG